UAAUUUUAGUGACCAUAAAUCUUCUUUUUGUAAAAGGGAAGUUCGUUAGAAUCGGACACAGUCCCCGCUACUGUAUUUGUAGAAUACUGGUUUAAUAUUAGCCAUCUUUGUUUCGUAUUAAGAGAAGGCAAACUAUGUUGGUACUACAUAAGUCAGGAGACCUG
rnacentral:ncRNA from 1 species